AAGUCGCAACAAGGUCUCCGUAGGUGAACCUGCGGAGGGAUCAUUGAAGAGUUAGGGCCUCCGGCCCGACCUCCAACCCUUUGUACUUGAUACCAUGUUGCCUCGGGGGCGACCCUGCCGUCCGCGGUCUGGGGCCUCCGGUGGACCACUCAACCCUGCAUCUUUGCGUCUGAGUAAAUUUGUAAAUUAAACAAAA
rnacentral:misc_RNA from 1 species